rnacentral:lncRNA from 1 species
AGACGGAAGGGGCCAGGUUAACGCAGCCGCGCGCCCGCCGGGCAGCCAGAAUCGUCACCGUAGCGCGGGAAGGGGCCUCGCGGGCCGUCUGCAGCAGGUGCGGCCGGGAGCCGCAGGCCCGCGCGUUGCCAUGGGUUACCAGGGCGGUUGCCAUGGGUUACCGGACCGAGGCCGGCUGGCUCGCUACCUGCAGCCCAGUCGCCGCCGCCAGCGGAGCGGCCCGGGCGGGACGCGGCGGGAGCGCGCGUGUGCGGGACGCAGCGCGGGGGAUGCGCGCGGGCCGCGGAGGCGCCGCAACCAACAGGCGGCCGAGGGUGCAGCCGCGGGAGCGCCACCGCCAGUGGGGUGGGGGGCAAAGCUAUAAAGAAGGCCCAGAGGAUUCCUGCGGAGCUGUAUUUACUUUACAUCCAUGUGAACUGCUGUCAUCACUACUGUGUCCAAGCCCAGAGGAUGAACUGGAAAAGAAGAGAGGGGGAAAAUAAUAAAAAGAGGAAAUUGGUUUUCACAACACACUCAAAGCCUGAGUAACAGAGGAGAACUUUAAUUAUCUCCAGUCACAAAGAGAGACAGGAAAUUUGGACUUUUAAUUAGCCAUUUGGAGUGCAGUUGGGUAUUUUUUUAGCUAGAUAAUUUAAACGCGAAUAAUUCAAGUCUGACUAAAUGAAAGUCACAUAAUCAGAAUGCAAAUAAUUGAAUUUCUACUGCAUUCAUUAAUUCAGUGUGGAGGUGUGUGUGAAGACUACUAUGAUGAGCUGUCACAGCUCAAUAAAAUCUCAGUCAAUUAAUUUUUUCAUUAUCUUAGUAUUAUAUCAACAAAAAAGUGAAGUGUGUAUAUAUAUCUAUACACGUGCAUAUGUGCAUACUAUGUAUUAUAUAAAUACAUAUACAUUAAAUCAAAAUGCAAGGAAAUACCUUUCUGAAUCAUAAUCUAUAUCAUUUUCUUUUUUUCCUUCUUCAUCUUCUUCAGGGAAACGUCUAUUCAUUAAGGCAAACUUGUGAAUUGCUUCUUCCACAGAGUACUUAGUCUGCCCAGAAACACACGCCUCAAUGUCUUCUGAAUUCAGAUGGCUCUGUAAGAAGAGGUGAAGGCUGCUAUCUGAAAGCAAAAGUGCAUUCUGUAGGACUCUAUAUUAAAAAAAAAAGGAAAAAUAAUUGGUGAACAGGAUGGUCAGUGAUAGGGUAGAAGAAAGAAAAACAUUAGAAAAGUACCACUGAAGAUUAAGAGAAGAGUUAUAGAGCAACAAUCCAUUAAUACGAACUUGGAUCGUGAAGUCUGUGAAGUCUGAGCAGAGUGUUUCCUGUGGCCUCUGUCAGCGGUUUCCUGCCUGCCAUAAGUACAAGGAACUGUUCAUGGGAUUGUACUCGUGGCUUUGUUUCUGUUGGAAAUGUGUUUUAUUUUCUUUAUAAAAUAAUGGGUAAUCUUUAAAAUUGAUUUUAGAUGGUUUGAGGCAUUACACCACAACAGUAAUGAGCACUAAUGCCAAUGAUAUUGGACACAAAUUCAUUUUAGCUUUAUUUCAUGUCUGAAGCAAUUCUACUGAGCCUUGAACUGCUCACGUGUUGUUAUUAACUUGCUAGUAACUUAACACAUGGGUACAGCAAACAAAAGUGAUCAGAGUCCAGGUUGAUCGGGACCUCAAGGCUACUGUCCUUUUUCUUGAGCUAUAAUUCAAUUUCCAAUUUUACUGUACAUUAGACUCAUUAUUUCCCAGCGUUUUCUUUUUCUGCUCAAUACUGCCAUCUGGAGGACACACAGAUGAAAAGAGAAGGAGCCAGGCUCACCCAGCUCACAAUUCCAAAGAGCCAGAAAGAUGUGGCUGGGGAGGGGACAUCUGAACACUCCCCCAGGCCUAGAGUUCAAACCAGUGAGUCGGCUAGGUACAGUUUUGGUUUUUGGAAUCUCCUCUGUUUCUCUGGCUAAAUUCAUGCCACCAUACUCCAUGAGUUUUAAAUAAGCAAAAAUAAUUUUUAAAUGUAUUUAUAUGCUUAUUUUAGUCAGAUAGUUCAUUCUGAAAUUUAAAAUGAAAAUUUUUGAGAGUGUUUUCCCAUCUGGUUAGGUGAGCAUAAUUAAUUUAUUUUGAGUACUAUUUGGCUUACUAUCAGAGAGGGCUGUGACUGCCACCAUCAUAAUAUUAAAUACUAUUUUUUCCUUAGUCAUGUUUGUGCCAUAUUUUCCACAAACAAAUCUAAUAGCCCAAAAUCAAUUUCAAACCUAAUAUAAAGAGUACUUUGUAAAACAGUCAAUAAAAUGUCAUUUGUAGAAACCUCCAUUUAAAAAGUAUAUGAUUUUCAAACCUUUAUAAAAGGAAUAAAAAAUAGCCUCUAGGAUUUUAAAAGAAUUUCUAGAAAGAUAUUUAUAGUGCAAAUCAGAAGUUAUUCCUUUCCCCAUAACAGUUUUAGACUAAACAAAGCAAAAUCUGUUUUUUUUCCCUAAACUGGACACAGUUGAAAAGCACAGUUUUCCUCAACAUGAUUUUAUUAGAUGUAUUAUAUGCUGGUUUAGCUGAGAAUAUAUAGCUAUGCAAAAUCAUUUCAUCCUAACUAAGGAUGUCCUGGGUCUGCUGAACCCAAUACAAUGAUAUAUAUACAUAACUGCAUAGUACAUGGAAGGUUAGCAGUUUGAUGUAGAAAAAAAAAAUUAACUCAGCCUGUUUAGCUCUUACUAUAAGAAAAAAUAAAACCUACAAAUCUUCAUUGAAGACAUUCAUGAUCUAUGCUGUGGUGCCCUCUAUUGAACACAAAGACAUAAAAAUCGUGUGUGUGUAAAACUAGCUGUCAUGGUUCAACACUAGCCUUUUGUAAAAAAUCUUUAAUAUUCCUUAAUAUUUGAAGAAAUACAAAACCAUGAUACUAAAGUCUAAACUGUAGGGUAAAUGUAGUUGUAUUAAUGGGAUGAAUUCAGUAAAGAAGGGAAGCGGCUCCCAGUCAUGAACAAAUCUAUUCAAACCUAAAUUGAAAAUCCCAUUCAAACCUAAAAAUUAGUAGGAAUUCCAUUUUUCAUAGUUAGAGACUUACUGAGUUUAUAUUUUUUAGCCUAUAACUUUCUUUUCAUAACUAUUAGAAGGGACUUUAAGUUUAUAAUUACUCAGGGGCAAGAAUACAAAAGGGAGAUUAUAGUUAAGACUGAAGAAAAAUGAAUAUAUUUGAAAAAUCUCACAAUCAUACCAAAUUUAGCCAGCAUUUAAGAGUACUGCUAAUUUUAAAUUUGCCAGGUUCUGGGAUUCAUAUAGUAUGUCCAUCUUUCCUAUAAUUUCUUUAUCUAUAAAACUGAGAUAAUACCCAACUCCUAAGAUUUUUAGUACUGAGACUAAAACAUGUAAAAUGCCAAACACGUAGAAAGUGUUCGAUAAAUGGUAGAAAUUAUUCUUAUUUGGCACCUAGUCAAAGAAACAAUUUUCCAAUUCCUCUACAAAGAUCAGUACUUUCUUAUUACAUAUGUAUCAUUUCACAAAUGACCUUAAAGAAAAAUAGGUAUAUAUACACAUAUACAAAGACAUUGUGGUUUCAAAAGGUUUGAACAUAUUUAGUGCUUCUGGUUCAUAACUUCAAAACUCACAUGAAAACCAGGCUUUAAAAAUGCAUGCGAAAAACCUACAAUACAAGCAUGUUUCCAUGUUUUAAUGCUGUGGUUCCUAAAAUUCCUCUACAAACAAGGUACAGGCUAUUGAUGGCUGGCCCUACUUAACAGGUAACCAGUGGGGGCUCAGAGGAUGUCAAACUGGGGCCAAGACACAGUGCCAAGGUACACAUCACAUCCAGUUCCCUAGAGUGGACCCUGGUUGGGUGAGGGGAGGGGGCACCAGGGGCAAAGACAUGGAGGGUACUACCUUACACAACCCGGGCAAGCACAGAUCUGAGGGACACAGAAGGGAGGCUGGGGAGGGUCAGCAGGGGCCGCAGAGCUCAGUUCAGGCCUGAAGCCAGCCCUGUGGUAUUUGACUCCUCACUUCCUUCAGGUUUAGGCUGUGUGGAAGCACCAGCUUUCAUUUUUAAAGUGAAAUAUUAACUUGUAGACAAAUGUUCACAUACCACAGGGGAACAAAUGAUAUCACAAGAGAACCCCCUGCCAAUUCCAUGAUUUGACAAUCCAAUCGGAUGACAAUCCAGAUUCAGUGUUAAUGAAUCUAGCCGUAGCCCUGGAUGUGUACACAGUGCUCCCCCUAGAAGGAAGUGUCAGGACAAGGACUUGUUCAUUCUGUGCAGUCCUAUGUCCGUGGCACGCAGCCUGGCCCAAAGCAUUCACUUAAUAAACAUCUAUUGAAUGAAGGAUCGCUGCAUGGUUUUUAGAGUUUUUUUCAAGUCCUUUUCAUCUGUAGGACACAACCAC